rnacentral:rRNA from 1 species
GGGGGGGGGGGGGGGGGGGGGGGGGGGGGGCGGGGCGGGCGGGGGGGCCGGGGGUGUGGGGGGGGGUCGGGUGGCGGGCGGGUGAGUGCGCCGUGGGGAACCUGCCCUUGACUUUGGGGUAACUUCGGGGGACUGGGGCUCAUACCGGAUAGGAGCUCCUGCUGCAUGGUGGGGGGUGGACGGGUUCGGCGGUUGGGUAUGGCCUCGCGGCUUAUCAGCUUGUUGGUGGGGUAGUGGCUUACCCAGGCUUUGACGGGUAGCCGGCCUGCGAGGGUGACCGGCCACAUUGGGACUGAGAUACGGCCAGACUCCUACGGGAGGCAGCAGUGGGGAAUAUUGCACAAUGGGCGGAAGCCGGAUGCAGCAACGCCGCGUGCGGGAUGACGGCCUUCGGGUUGUAAACCGCUUUCGCCUGUGACGAAGCGUGAGUGACGGUAAUGGGUAAAGAAGCACCGGCUAACUACGUG